AAUAAGUGCUAUUUUGCACUAUUCUCAUUCAACGUUUAACCGUUCGUUUUUAUUUGAAAUUUUUUUAUGAAAUUUUUUUAUGAUUAGUAUUUUUAUUGCUAUUAGAUGAUAAAAUAUGAAUAGUACUUUAUGUGUGAUUAAAUAUUUUUAAUUUUUUCACAAAAUUUUUAAGUAAGACAGACGGUCAAACGUUGAAUACGGAUAUCCACGGCUGCACUUAUU
rfam:Oryza rufipogon genomic scaffold, chr10